rnacentral:rRNA from 1 species
CACGUAGUUAGUCGUCCCUUUCUGGUAAGAUACCGUCACAGUGUGAACUUUCCACUCUCACACUCGUUCUUCUCUUACAACAGAGCUUUACGAUCCGAAAACCUUCUUCACUCACGCGGCGUUGCUCGGUCAGACUUCCGUCCAUUGCCGAAGAUUCCCUACUGCUGCCUCCCGUAGGAGUCUGGGCCGUGGUCUCAGUCCCAGUGUGGCCGAUCACCCUCUCAGGUCGGCUAUGUAUCGUCGCCUUGGUGAGCCGUUACCUCACCAACUAGCUAAUACAACGCAGGUCCAUCUGGUAGUGAUGCAAUUGCACCUUUUAAGCAAAUGUCAUGCAACAUCUACUAUUAUGCGGUAUUAGCUAUCGUUUCCAAUAGUUAUCCCCCGCUACCAGGCAGGUUACCUACGCGUUACUCACCCGUUCGCAACUCAUCCGCUCGGUGCAAGCACCAAGCUUCAGCGUUCUACUUGCAUGUAUUAGGCACGCCGCC